UGCGUAGGUGGUUUCUUAAGUCAGAGGUGAAAGGCUACGGCUCAACCGUAGUAAGCCUUUGAAACUGGGAAACUUGAGUGCAGGAGAGGAGAGUGGAAUUCCUGGUGUAGCGGUGAAAUGCGUAGAUAUUAGGAGGAACACCAGUUGCGAAGGCGGCUCUCUGGACUGUAACUGACACUGAGGCACGAAAGCGUGGGGAGCAAACA
rnacentral:rRNA from 1 species